rnacentral:rRNA from 1 species
GACGAACGCUGGCGGCGUGCUUAACACAUGCAAGUCGAACGGUGAAGCGCCUUCCUUUUUGGUGGGUGUGGAUGAGUGGCGAACGGGUGAGUAACACGUGAGUAACCUGCCCCCUUCUUCUGGAUAACCGCAUGAAAGUGUGGCUAAUACGGGAUAUUCUGGGUCUGUCGCAUGAUGGGUCUGGGAAAGAUAUUGUUUCGGUGGGGGAUGGGCUCGCGGCCUAUCAGCUUGUUGGUGGGGUGAUGGCCUACCAAGGCGGUGACGGGUAGCCGGCCUGAGAGGGUGGACGGUCACACUGGGACUGAGACACGGCCCAGACUCCUACGGGAGGCAGCAGUGGGGAAUAUUGCACAAUGGGCGCAAGCCUGAUGCAGCGACGCCGCGUGAGGGACGGAGGCCUUCGGGUUGUGAACCUCUUUCGCCAGUGAAGCAGGCCUGCCUCGUUUGUGGGUGGGUUGACGGUAGCUGGAUAAGAAGCGCCGGCUAACUACGUG